rnacentral:rRNA from 1 species
UCCGUAGGUGAACCUGCGGAAGGAUCAUUAACUAAAUUUGUACGUAAGUACAUAAACCUUUGUGAAUUGGGGGAUUUAUCCCUUUAUAUAAAACUUGGAGUCUAUAAAAUAUUAAAAUAUUAAAAACUUUUAACAACGGAUCUCUAGGCUCUUGCAACGAUGAAGAACGCAGUGAAUGCGAUAAGUAAUGUGACUUGCUUUACUGUGAAUCAUUGAAUUUUUGAACGCACCUUGCACUAUUCACUCUAAAGAAUAGUAUACUUGUUUGAGUAUCAUAAAAACCAACCAACGCUAUGUUGUGGAAGAUGAGGCUUUACUAUUGUAUGCCUUUAAAAGUAAGUUUCCAACAGUGAGGCAAGUUCCCACUAACUGGAGACACUUGAACAUUGAUCCCAAAUCAAGUAGGACUACCCACUGAACUUAAGCAUAUCAGUAAGUGGAGGAAAAGAAACUAACAAGGAUUCCCUUAGUAACGGCGAGUGAAGCGGGAUGAGCUCAAAUUUAAAAUCCGAGGGGUUUCCCUUCUGAAUUGUAGUUUAUAGAAAUGUUUUCCGUAUAGGGCAUUGGCAUAAGUUCUUUGGAACAAGACAUCAUAGAGGGUGAGAAUCCCGUUUAUGGUCUUUGCCUUUAUACAUUGUGAUACAUUUUCAAAGAGUCGAGUUGUUUGGGAUUACAGCUCUAAUUGGGUGGUAAAUUUCAUCUAAAGCUAAAUAUUGGCAAGAGACCGAUAGCGAACAAGUACCGUGAGGGAAAGAUGAAAAGAACUUUGAAAAGAGAGUUAAAAGUACGUGAAAUUGUUAAAAGGGAAACGCUUGAAGU